GAGAAACUAAGCAAGUGAUUCCAUUCAAAUAAAUUAAAUGCAAAGUCACUACAAUUGGGAGGUUUAGAUUAAAGAAGGCCUUUUCAGGUGUGGUUAACCACAGAGUGAGGACGCGAGCUCUAAGCUGGACUUGGCAGCAGAAGAGAGAAGAUCCAGUCAUUGUCCAUACAACUUGAUUUUGAAUACUGGUAAAAUCAGAGUUGGGCUUCCCUGGUCGCUCAGUGGGAAAGAAUCUGCCUGCCAAUGUAGCAGAGCCCAGUGGAAAAGAAUCCAUCUGCCAAUGCAGGGGACAUGGGUUCGAUCCCUGGUCCAGGAAUAUUCCACAUGCUGAGGGGCAAUUAAGCCCAUGGACCAUAACUACUGAGCCGUACUCUGGAGGCCUCGAGCCACAACCACUGAGCCCAGGUACUGCAGCUACUGAAGCCAGCACCCCAGAGCCCAUUUUCUGUAACAAGAGAAGCCACUGCAAUGGAAAGCCUGCACACUGCGAUGAAGAGUAGCCCAGCUCACCGCAACUAGAGGAAGCCUGCAUGCACCAAUGAAGACCCAGUGCGACCAAAAAUAAAAUUUAAAUUAAAUUCUCUGUGCUUCAGUUUUCAUAACCAUGAAAAGGGGACCAUCAUACCUAUUAUGUAGGGUUGUUAUGAGGCUGAAAUGAGAUAAUGUUGCAAAGUACUUCGUAUAUAGUAGGUACGCGUAAAUGAUGCUUAGUCUUACCUAACAACUCUCUUUCCUUUGGAGAUAAGAACUAACUUGUUUUGUGCAGUACUGUGCUGUGUGCUGCUUCCUGGCUACAGACUGUCUACAUGUCAUAACAGCUACUGUUGACUAAAUACAUAAAAUGUGAC
ensembl:lncRNA